AUCAACCUCUCAGCACGUAGGAUGCAGUAACAAACUACUCUCCCAUAAUUUUCCCCUCUGCUUAUCCUUUUGGAUUCAGUUCAAAUGUCACCACCUCUACCAAGGUUUUUCCAAACUCCCUCAAACAGAGUUAGCCACUGCUACUUAUGGUCCUCAGAGCAAUCUGUCCACUUAUCCCAAUUUACUAAAAGUGUUUGUUAAUAUAUUAUUAUGACUGAAUUGUGCCCUCCUUACCUCCAAAAUUCAUAUGUUGAAGCCCUAACCCCACCUGUGACUGUAUUGGAGACAGGGCCUGUAAGGAGGUGAUUAAAGUUAAAUGAGGUCAAGAAAGUAACUUCAGAGGAGGAUCUGAUGGAUAUGGAAGUGGUCGUGGAUUGGGGGAUGGCUAUAAUGGGUAUGGAGGAGGACCUGGAGGAAAUUAUGGAAGUGGAAAUUUUAAUAAUUUUGGAAAUUAUAAUCAGCAGCCUACUAACUAUGGCUCAAUGAAGAGUGGAAACUUUGGUGGUAGCAGGAACAAGGGGGGACCAUAUGGUGGAGGAAACUAUGGUCCAGGAGGCAGUGGAGGAAGUGGAGGUUAUGGAGGGAGAAGCCAAUACUGAGCUUCUUUCUACUUACCAUGGGCUUCUCUGUAUAAAUAGGAGAGGAUGAGAGCCCAGAGGUAACAGAACAUCUUCAGGUUAUCGAAAUAACAAUGUUAAGGAAACUCUCAUCUCAGUCAUGCAUAAAUAUGCAGACUACACCAGAGUAAGAUGCAGAGAGCCAUUUUGUGAAUGGAUUGGAUUAUUUAAUAACAUUACCUACUGGGGAGGAAGGAUUGUAAAAAAAAAAAAAAAAGCCUUUGAGACAGUUUCUUAGCUUUUUAAUUGUUGUUUCUUUCUAGUGGUCUUUGUAAGAAUAUAGAAGCAGUCCUUUGAUAAUGUUAAAUUUGUAAGUUUCAGGUGACAUGUGAAACCUUUUUUAAGAUUUUUCUUGAAGUUUUGAAAAGCUAUUAGCCAGGAUCAUGGUGUAAUAAGACAUAACGUUUUUCCUUUAAAAAAAAUUUAAGUGCAUGGGUAGAGUUAAAAAGCUGUUAUACGUUUAUAAUUUAAUAAAAUAAUU